rnacentral:SRP_RNA from 1 species
GCUGGGUGCUGUGACACGUGCCUGUAGUCCCAGCUACUCGGGAGGCCGAGGUGGGAGGAUCACUUGGGCCUAGGAGUUCUGGGCUGUAGUGCACUCUGCCAAUUGGGUGUCCACACUAAGUUCGGCAUCAAUAUGGUGCCCUCCCAGGAGCUGGGGACCACCAGGUUGCCUAAGGAGGGGUGAACCGGCCCAGGUCAGAAACGGAGCAGGUCAAAACUCCCAUGCUGAUCAGUAGUGGGAUAGCGACGGUGAAUAGCCACUGCACUCCAGCCUGGGCAACAAAGCAAGACCCUGUCAAU